rnacentral:lncRNA from 1 species
AAGGUACUUGACUAUCACUUUUAUAAGCUUCUCCUUGGUUCUGGCGUUCAUAUAAAUAAAAGAGACAAACAUAUAUGAUUUACAACUCUAGAUUAACCAACCCAACUGAUUCAACAUGUUUAGUCCUUUAAUCCUUGUUCUUAGUACUACCUCCAUGAUCCCACACUCCUAAUCAUAUGAGCUAAAAUGUUACACAUUCAAUCAUUAAGAGAUAUAAAGAAAAAGACAUAUACAUAGAUAGAUUAUCUUUCCAUAAGGUUGAGCGAUCUGAUCUGACAAAUGUUAUAAGUGCUACACUUAUGAACUUAUCAUCCAUCAACUUUGUCUUGCUCACUAUGCUUAAGGUUAGAGAAGAACAAAUACACUUUUGGUUCUGUUGGUGUUUUCCACCAACAGGGCCCAUGCACUUGAUCUCUGCCUUGUCUCUAUGAGCAGGUACACUACGAGCACAAACACACCGAGCAAGAUACUGCUAACGCCGCACUUCGAACUGCUGGGCAAACGAAGAACAUGGGUGACACCGUAUCAAGAGGUGCAGACGUCAAGGUCCGCACCUGAAUCAAAUGACGCACCUGAAGAAUGAACACGGUGAGAAGUCUUGUCAAGAAGACUUAAAACAUUGAACCCUCGCCGAAAGGUAAGAUUGGUAGUUAUCCAUAUUUAUCCUUUCUGCAUUCCCUUUUCUCUUUAAUUAUUUAUUUUCCUUAAAUAGAUUAUUAGUUAAUCAUGCUAUCUUGAAAAGAAAAUAAAAAUGUUAAAAAAUACUAAGCCCCAUGUGAGUAUACGAGUGGCAUAAAACCCAUAAGUACCUUCACUGUGGUGGCAUAAAAAUAAAAUAAAUAUUUUUUUUUCUACUUUAUAAAAUAAAAAUAUAAAAACAGGAAGUAAUAUUUAUUGAGGAAGCUCAACGUGAUGAAGGCUAGAUAUUUAUGCUAACACUUAAUUAGUUCCACAAGCUUUGUUGUCUAUUUGAGCUCCACAGAAUUUAAGAAUCAAGAAGACUAGCAGACGGAGGACAUUCUAAUCGCUGUGAGAAUGCUGCUGACUUUCAAAUACACCUCUGCCACCUGCUAGCUACAUCAAGAGAAAUUACGUCAAAAUUCAGCUUGGGGGAGAGCACCCCCAUUUAUCUCGCUAAGUAUUUCUACCUAUCUUUAUACUUAUAUUAUAUUAGAAUAUUAAAAUACAUAAACUAUGAAAAACCAAAUAAAGAUUUUGUGCUUAUAUAUAUCUUUUGCUUAGUGUGUUUAAUAAAUAAAUAAAGUGGCUAUGCUAAUCUGAAUCUUAAUAAUAAAACUCUAGCAUGGAUAUGAUGAAUAUUGCUCUGCCUAAUUUGCAAAUUUGAAGUUCUCUCUCAAGUUUAGACAUAACUGUUAUAAUUUAAAGCUUGCUCUAGAUCUAAACUUGUGGGAUGAAAACUUGAUCUGAAAUCUAAGUUGUUAACGGAUAUGAUAUGGGAAGGUUGAGCUGCUGUUUAUCUAUUCCUAGAGAUGCUAGAAUUCUGGAGAAUUUUAUCUUUGAAAAAUCAUUAAAAUAUUGCAUGAUGAGUUCCUGUAUGAUGAAAGUUUAAAUUCCUACUACAGCCAUAUAUACAUGCUUGCUAGACUUUGAGCCACACAUUUAUUAUUUACUGCUUAUGAGCAUUGAGUGUGGUCAAGCUGUGUAGACCCUUAGGAGCUUGUCAUGUGGUUAAAUCAAGAUUCACUUGCACGUUCACUCAUAUAUGCUACUUCUACUCCGGAAGUACCAUCCACAUAUAUCCAUCCAUUUCCAUCUCCAGAAUCACCUAAAAAUAUUCUACUCCUAAUUUGGGAGAGAAUAGCCAAAAACAUCUGUGUUUUUCCCUUGUGAAAUAAAUGCUCAAGUUAUCUUGCUACUACCACUUGCUAUAUUAUCUCAAGAGAUGAGUGCUCUGCAAAAAAAAAAGAAAAGAAAAAAAAAGAUAAAUAAACGAGGAAAUAAAAAAGGGCAAGUGCCCGGAACCUCGAAAGAAAAGAAAAAGAGUGAGACGAGAGGUAAAAAUGGACAAGUGUCCGACAGUAGAAUUAGGGGUACAGGAUACCCAUCUGAGAGAAAAGAAAAAGAAGAGCAUCUCAUUCUCCUCAUAAAGUUUCAAAAAGCAAGGAAGGUAUGUACCCCCCAAAAGAGCAAAAGUAGAAUUAGACUUUCACCAUUGUUAUCACCAUCAUCACCAUACACUAUUCAUUCGCCACACAUGCACAUCUUGAUUUAGCUUAUUGAUUUGUUUCUUUGGAUCCAUGGUUUGACUAUACAAUAAAUGUCUUGUAAGUAUGUAUAUUUUAUCUCCCAUCUAUGAGCUCCAGAUAUUAAAGCCUUAUUAGAGUAGGGUGAGAGAGAAGACAAUGUCACUACGCCUUAUACCACAAAUACCACAUAUUUUGAGAGAAGGCAUAUACCAUCACUGCCUUGGUAAGGAUCCAGAAAUACCACAAAAGAGAGAUAUGAGAGAGUCAUACAAAGGAAUCUCUGAGUUUUAUUUGAAAAUCUGCAAAAACUCCAGAGCUAUAGCUGAUCAAGAAUAAGAGACAUGGCACUUGACUGGACUGUUCUAUCUUUUAACCACUCAAGACAGAAGUGACGGUUACAAGUCCCAUGGUGAAGGGUAAAGUAAGUAAGUUUUAAGUCUUGACAGUUUACUCUAACUCAGAGAUGAGACCUCAUUUAAAAGCAUGUGUACCGUCAAUUUUUAAAGAUAUUGCAACACCUUAUGAUCCAUAGCUGAGUCUAUCCUUGCUCAGGGACGAGCAAGAGGUAAGCUUGGGGGAGUUUGUUGACGGUCCUUAAGUAUCAAAUUUAACUAUCAAAUAAAUAAAGAAAAGGAUCCAAAUGAAAUCAACAUCGAGACUUAGGGUUUUAUCUGACAGAAUUCCACGAGUUUUGGUGUUUGUCUAUUUCUACAGGGGGUUAUCAGCAAAUAAGGAAGAAAGGCCCACACGUCGGGAUUACAUAGAGAUAUCAACGUGCCGCGCAAUUAUCUUACAUCUAGAAGACUCCAGAAACCACGGGAAGGAAGCGGAGACCGAACGGAGUCAGGGACAGGGCGCCCGCCCAAGUCCUUAGGGCGCCCGCCCACCUUUUUCGGCCAAUCACGCUCAAUCUCGCGGAUUAUGCUCCACCGACCUAAAGGAUCAAGAAUAACCGUUCAAUAAAUGUCGGUUUGAUCCGACGGCCCAGGUUCACUUGAGGGGACUAUAAACCAGACCCCCUGGCCCCUGGAGGAGGCAACCCUUGAUCAUUAUUCAUUAUUCAUAGACAGAGCAAGAGCUAGGGUUUAGAGAUGAGAGCUCUCCUCUCUUCUCUAAACUAGAGUAGAUCUAGAUAGUAGCGAGAUGGAGAGCGAAGGAGGAUUAGAGGAGAGGCCGGCCUGUCGGUUCUUCCUCUGGUUGUACUUCGCCAUGAUCAAGCUCUAAUCAAGCUUGCUCAUGGGAUGACUCUGGUAAUCUACUUCUAAUUCAUUAUGCAAUUACUAAUCAUGUAUGUUCUGGUUCACAACUCUUUUGAGUACUUCUAAUCUAUAGGACCCUAUAGGUUAGAGUUGUAGUAUAGGUGUAAGCGUGGUGCUUAGACCUAGAUUACUUGUGGAUAUCCCCUGACUAGCUGGAUCGUGUGGUAGGCCGCGUAGGUGACAGUUACGUUGGUCCCCUGUAGUCCACCUCUCGUUAGCAGGACGGGUAGGGUUUAUCGGCCUAAGGAUAAGCAUCCUUUGUGGUGUACUCUUAUCACGUGGUUCGUUCCAGACAUAGACAUACCCCUUUGAAGUAGAGAAACCAUAGUUAUCCUCUCUAUUCUGCUACCAUCGCCCAUAUACU